GGUGGCUUAGUGGUUAGGAGCUUUGGCUGCUAACCAAAAGGUCGGCCGUUCGAAUCUGCCAGCCACUC
rfam:Loxodonta africana unplaced genomic scaffold scaffold_9, whole genome shotgun sequence.